CACUCCUACGGGAGGCAGCAGUGGGGAAUUUUGGACAAUGGGCGAAAGCCUGAUCCAGCAAUGCCGCGUGAGUGAAGAAGGCCUUCGGGUUGUAAAGCUCUUUUGUCAGGGAAGAAACGGUGAAAGCUAAUAUCUUUUGCUAAUGACGGUACCUGAAGAAUAAGCACCGGCUAACUACGUGCCAGCAGCCGCGGUAAUACGUAGGGUGCAAGCGUUAAUCGGAAUUACUGGGCGUAAAGCGUGCGCAGGCGGUUUUGUAAGUCUGAUGUGAAAUCCCCGGGCUCAACCUGGGAAUUGCAUUGGAGACUGCAAGGCUAGAAUCUGGCAGAGGGGGGUAGAAUUCCACGUGUAGCAGUGAAAUGCGUAGAUAUGUGGAGGAACACCGAUGGCGAAGGCAGCCCCCUGGGUCAAGAUUGACGCUCAUGCACGAAAGCGUGGGGAGCAAACAGGAUUAGAUACCCUAGUAGCCCAUG
rnacentral:rRNA from 1 species